rnacentral:lncRNA from 7 species
UGUCACUAGUGUUUCCAACUCACUGAGGCUGACAUUCAUCUUUGUACAAAGCCCCCAGCAUAAUAAUAAUAAUAAAAGUGGGCCAAGAUAAUAAAAUAGGAGGCAUUACUUUCAGGGCAGCCCUUCUGUAAUAAGCUUAAAAAAUUAUAAUCUGAAUUCUUGAUUCUCAUCAGUAGAAGGUAAUCUUGACACAAACAUGUUACCCACACACAGUGAUGACUAUGACAACAUUUUUUUUUCACCUCUAGAAAUACGUGUCCUUAAUCAGCCUUGUGUUAAUACAGCGUCAAGGCAAGCACUAUCCAUGCCCUGAGCCAUGUAUCAAUAGAAAAAGAAGCAGAAUAAAGACAAUGUGAUUUCAAGACUUAUUUUCAGGGCAGUCUACAUACGGUAUGAACACAGAGGAACCAGUCAGUCUGCAUUUAAAUAGUUAAUUACAGAUAUUAAUGUCUACUCUGCUGUAUUAGAAAAAUAAAUGUAAUGGCUUUUCCUGCCAGGAGGGUGCUUCACAUAAUGGAUUGCUUUGCUGAUGUGACUAAAUACCUUUCUGAUAUUGAUCCACACAGAGGAGGAGAGAAAACCUAAGAAAACUCUUGAAGGUAUUAUAAAGCAGCCAGGGAGACAGAUCAGGGUUGUGGCAGCAGAACAGAAUUUAUGCAUUCAGAAUUGAUGCAAAAAGCACUUCUGAAACUGCCAAGUCUUUCCAGGAAGAGCCGACAGACAGACAGAGGAACUGUUUCUUCAUCUUGUAUGUGUCCUCAGCUCCACAUGUCCUGGAACAGACGGUUUAUUCCUUGCAUGCUGUGACCAAGGGAAGGUCUCCUCUUCUAUUCAGAUCUUCGGAGCAUAUUUUAGUAAUCCCUCACCUGGACAUGCUUGCUGUUAGGUGGUGCUAAGCCUCUGGAACAUGUUUGCAGAAGAGGAAACUCCAGUCUGGAUACAGCUACCCUUGCUCAUUUAUCCCCACCUGCAUCCCAGUGUUCUGCAGGUAUGGAGAUUCAUGUUUCUUGCUAUGCCCUUAGAACAAUGAAUGGUGUAAAUAAGGCAGCUCUGGUUUCAAUGACCUUCUCAGAAAAAAAGAAGGCUGAAAGGAGUGAGGGAAGAGUACGAAGAAAAUGUUGGGAGAUCAUCAGACAAAAGGUCCUGAGCAGUUCGAGAUCUACUCGCCCUAAAGGGCACCUGCAAAGUUGUGAAAACCUCCUCCCUGCUUCUCCCAUCUGAACAGGCAUGGUUAUGGCUGUAGACCCAGUUCUUUUUGGAUCCAGAUCAUAACAGCAGGAAAAGGUUGCCAUGUUUAUGAUACCAACUCCACAUUUAGGGGCAGCAGUUCUGCAGAUAACUACCCACUUAUUUUUCAGUCCUCUCUCUCUCUCCUUAUUUACUCCCCCCUCCUUAUUUAGCUUUUGUAAUUUUAUCCCUAUGAUCUGUGAAAUUAUACUUUAUGCCUAUGUUUUUUUUGGCUUUUUUUGAAAACAUGAAAGCUGGGAAAAUGCGCUGCUUUAUUUUUCACCCUUGGAUAAAUCCAGUAAUAUCAUGUGACAGAAUUUAUAUCCUUAUUAUAAACAAUGCCUAUUCAUAGUGUCUUCUAGCAAUUGCUGCCUGUAGAUUUUUUUGGUAAAAAAAACUAAGUAAUAGCAUGUACAUUUGUGUCUGCACAUGAAUGUGUGUAUGUGCAUAUAAAUACAUGUUUUU